GCCUUCGUGGUGUAGUGGUUCUGCACGCUGGGCCAGUAUUCCAGAGGUCCGCGGUUCGAUUCCCGGCGAAGGCG
rnacentral:tRNA from 1 species